UACGAGGGGUGCAAGCGUUAUUCGGAAUGACUGGGCGUAAAGGGUGCGUAGACGGUAUGUUAAGUCUGUUGUUAAAUUCUUCGGCCUAACCGAAGUCAUGCAAUGGAAACUGGUAUGCUAGAGGGUGAAAGAGAGAAGUGGAAUUCUCGGAGUAGCGGUAAAAUGCGUAGAUCUCGAGAGGAACACCAAUGGCGAAAGCAGCUUCUUGGUUCACUCCUGACGUUGAGGCACGAAAGCGUGGGGAGCAAACAGG
rnacentral:rRNA from 1 species